GCCUUGCUAGCUCAAUUGGCUAGAGCGUGAGACUUUUACGAACCUUCGUUCAAGUAAUCUCAAGGUUGCGGGUUCGACCCCCGCGUGAGGCU